rnacentral:lncRNA from 1 species
AUAAUUAUAAUAUUCACAACUUAAAAGAUUGGAUACAGGACACAGAAAAUGCUCAUCAUUUUACUUUCCUUUGAUUCAAGUGAGAGGUCGAAUCAAGAGAAAUAGAUCAAUAAGUUCAACUGGCAUAAGUUUAAUUUCUAACAUAAUUAAUGCAAGAGCACACAGGAUUUCUUUCACCCAAAAUACAAAGGUUUUGCUAAAUAUAUAUUCACAAGUAGUUGACUCUUACAAAUCUGAUGCACCUCACGCGGCAAACAUCGCAAGAAAAUAUUGUAAAACCCAGUACCGAAGCAACUUCUCAUCUUUCCCAGCUAAACAAUGCUCAUCAUGGUUCUAGACUCAAGAUAAUGAAAGCUCUUCUUCCUUCAAGGAUGGUGGAAACUCGUCCUGGCUUGCUUCCUCAAAACUAGCUGAAGUGGAUUCUGCUUCAGCAUUGGGGUUUAAACCUGCAAGAUGCAAGAUAUUCUCAAUCUCUUUCACCACUUCACCCAUUGUUGGCCUGUCACUUCCUUUCUCUUGUACACAUUUCAUUGCCAGAUCCAGUAUCUUAUCUAGACCUUUCGGCUUCGUGUCUAAACCAAUGCUUGGGUCAAGAAGUUCAUGAAGGUUAUAUAGAUCUUUUUUUCUAUCCAAUGAGCUACUUACCUCCGCUACAAGGUAUUUCCCUCGCUCUAAAGGCUUUCUUCCACUUACUAGUUCCAGCAACACAACUCCAAAGCCAUAGACAUCACUCUUCUCAGUCAAGAGCAGGGUCUCCUGAUAUUCUGGAUCUAUAUAGCCCUAAGCAGAAAAUAUAGUAAUCUUGUCAAUUGUAACCCUUGAUAUAUAAUGGCUUUAAUCAUAGACCAGCCGGCGACCUGCAUUUAAUGAAACUAGAUAGUCUUAAAUUAAUGAUGUUUUGGAGGUACUGACCCUUGUCCCUUUAACUUGAGUGGUAGCAAGAAUAAGCUCACUAUUGUCCAUGGGCUUGGAAAGACCAAAGUCAGCAACUUUAGCAUUUAAGGAUUCAUCCAGUAAUAUGUUAGCUGAUUUUACGUCCCUGUGGAUAAUACGAGGCUUGACAAGCUCGUGCAAGUAGGCAAGACCUCUUGCUGCACCAAGAGCCACUUUAAGUCUCCUCCUCCAAUCCAGCCAGAUCCCGCUCAAACCUGCUUACAUGACAAGAGGAUAUAUAAUUGUGUAGACUUGCUACAACUAUAGAAUGCGUGUGCUUAUUUUCGGAAGAAAGGCACCAAAGGGUCGUCAUGGAAAACUCGAUGCUUGUAAGAUUGAAAGGUUCCAUGUACAAUACCUGAUAGGCUGUCCCUGAGACUACCAUUGCGAACAAACUCAUAAAUUAGCAUCUGUUCACCUCUCUCAAAGCAAAACCCAACAAGGUUUACAACAUUUUUAUGAUGAACUCUCGUUAAAACUUCUAUCUCUGAGUUGAAUUCAAGCCCACCUUGCACCGAUCCUUGUCGACAUCGUUUGAUGGCAAUCAGUUGUCCAGUAGGAAGCAUCCCUCUAUAAACCUGUACACAAAAAUGUUGAAAGACUCAAGUAUUGUGUUGCUGAAAAAACACCAUGGCAGCUCAGAAGUUAGAUAGUUUGAAGGCAAAUUGCAGCCAGCAACACCCACAAUCAUUGUUUAUGCAAAUGAAACCACCAUGGCAGGACAGGAAAAGAGGGAGAGACUUGCCAUUCCGUAACCCCCUGAUCCAAUAUGAUUGGCUUCCGAGAAAUUAUUGGUGCUCUUCGUAAUCUCAUCGAAAGAGAAGCAUCUGGCUCCCUUCAACUGAGGAACUCUGUCAGUGUUCUUUAAAUCCAAGUAUCCUGCAAUUUGGCAAAAUAAAGAAAAAGAAAUAAACCCGCAUGCAAUUUUCAAUGAUGAACGGGAAAAUAUCAGGUCUAAAAACUAGAACCUUAAAGUACCAAAAUGAUUCUUAUGUUUACUUGCUCUUUCUCCUCUUUUUUUCAGACGAUAAGCAUAUACCCCUGCAAGAAGCAAUAGUAGCAGGAAAGAGGCUCCUCCAGCCGCAGCCCCAAUGAUACUUCCAGUGCUCCAUAACUUGUUUGAUACCGAGGGUUUUCCUGCUUGAAAAAGGGGUAGGGAGGGAGAGGGAUGGGUGAUCAGAAGAAAGAAAGAUCAAUGUAGACAAAUAUCUCUCACUUGUGCAUGAAAUGUGAAAUUACCAUCGAAGUAUGGGUAUGCAGCACCCUUAAAAUGUGAAGGUCCAAAGAUAUCUGGAUUUUCAAUAGUCUGAAGGUUUAGCACAGAUCCAAUUUCAGAAAUUGUAGUUGUGUUAAAAUGAUUUUGGCCCGAAGGAAACACAGAUACGUUCGAUUCAAGAUUCCCCAACGAAUCAUUUGUUGGACAAUUUACAUAAACUGAAUCCACAGGAAGCCUUGAGUUCUUAAAGGAAAGCAUCAGAGACUCUUCUACCAGACGUGGAUAAUAAGUUGCGUUUCUUGACUCUAAAAAUGGAGGUCUGAAGAACAGUACUCCUGUGUACGGAUAAGAGAAUUUGCUGUUGGGACUGGAAAUCUGAUCUGAAAUGCAGGGGAGGAGAAACGAAGAAAUGGCUUGAUGAACUGUGCAGUAAUGUUCUGUUGCUUCUGUACGCCCACAAACUGGGUUACCCACAAGUCUGCAAAAUUUAACACAUAAAACACUCUUACGCAGGCAAGUAGCAUAGCACAUCUCCUCAGGAUUUAACUUUUCACACUACUAACAUGACAAGGUUUCAGUCAGAUCUUAAGACUUUUGAAUGAUCUGUGUAAUUUUACAAUAUCUGAGAGGGACUGUUAUAAUUCAUCCCACAAUAAGAAGAAGAAGAAUGCCUCUUACAUUACAUCCACGUUAUUCCUUUGUUCUGGUGUUUCUGAAUAGAAUGAAAUGAGAUUGUUUCGCAUAUCAAUGGCUUCCAGCUGGCUGCUAGAGCUUCUUGCAAUAUCCAAUGUGCCAUUGAGCUGGUUGUUCCUUAGAAUCCUGUAACCAUUUGUGAAUUUAGAUAUCCAUCAGUUUCCAUGAGAUGAAAGAAUCUAUCAAUAUCCAUGAAGUUGAUUGCUAUGGUACUAAAGAAACAAGUGGAAGGAUACUCACAAAGUCUGUAAACUAGGAAGAUCGAAGAGGGUAGGAGGAAUCUGACCUUCAAGUCCAGUGUUUUCCAUCAUUCUGUUAUUCACAGGAAGGGAAGAAGGCUUCACUAUGUUGACAGCGUGAAAAAUCAUAAAUUGUAAACUUUUAUACACAGGAAUGCAUAGUCAAUAAGAGGUUCCAUGGACAAAAAUGUCUCUGUCAAAAAACCAAUGACUGCUUCAUAUAACACUUGUAAACAUGGAGACAAUUAUAAUCUAGCAUGUAAAGAUGAUGCCUGACUGAGAUACCUAACAACAUUAAUAGACUGGAAAUCUUACAAGUAGCUGAGAUAAGCCAUGCCAGUGAGAUUAGGAACAGGCCCAGUAAAUUUAUUGUUGGACAAAAUCCUGAAAUUUAUCAGCAAAAACACUCUUAACAGAGUGAGAAUUCGCACAAAAGACUUAACAAACUAGCCAAACCAUUGUGAUAUCUUUACUGGCAAUGUCGUUUUCUGUAUACUUACAACGUCUUCACAGUGGUAAGAUUGUUGAGGUUUGGAGGGACAGGUCCAGUUAAUGAAUUCCCUUCAAAACGUCUGCAACAAAGAUAAGGCAUUCAAUACAAACUAGAUCAGUGUAGAUUAAUCACUUCAGUUUGCCAUGUAGAUGCUUACACAGCCUCCAAAGUGUGCACAAGUCCAAGGGUAGAAGGAAUGCUUCCCGUGAGAUUAUUGUCAUGCAAAAUCCUGCACAAAAGUAAAGUAUAUGAUGUAUAUAGAAUUGUAAACCUUUUAAAGAGGCAAAUUAAAUUAAAAAGAAAUAUUCUUUUCUUUUAAAUUAAAUUAAAAUCCCACUUCCUAUUUUCUCCCCUAUUCCAUUGGUGAAGUAGUUUGACUUCAACAUCCAAAGCAUAUACAAACUUACACAUGAAUGAGAGUCAUGUCUGAUCUGAAAAGUUCUUUCGGGAUUGUGCCUGAGAGCUGAUUCCCUCCUAGAUGACUGAAUAAUUUUCAGACCAGCAUAAACAGAUGUCAAUAAAGCCGAAGCAAGAGAGAACACUAAUCAGCUGGACAGCACAAAGAUAUUUGACAUACAAGUGUAGUGCAUUAACUAGCAUAUCAAGACCAGAUGUAUUUCCACUGGAGACAGGGAUGGCUCCAUCGAGCAGAUUAUUGAAUAGAUCCAGCACAAUGAGUUUUGAAAGGUUUCCAAGUGAAUGUGGAAUUGAUCCAGUGAAUCUAUUAGAAUUCAGGUCUCUGCGGGAAAUAGCAAUAGAGAGUUUCAGAAAACAGUAAAGGUUGCCAAUAGAGCACAUGUUUAGUCCACAAGGAAACAGUAAAACACUUACAGAAACUCCAGCAGCUGAAGAGACCCUAUCAACUCAGGGAUAGGACCAGAGAAACUACAACCAGCCAACUUUCUAGAAUGGAAGAAAUGAAAAUUCUGUCAGUUAAUUAGAGGAUUGGUUUCAGUUAAUACUAACAUCAUAUUAUUCCCUUACAAGUUUUUUAGCUUCUUCAAAUUCACAAUUGAUGGUGGAAGGGUACCGUUCAACCCCGUGUUGUCCGAUAGAUCCCUAUAACCAGACACUGUUAAUGAGCAAGGAAUCCUUGGAAUGGAAAACAAUCACUAUGUUCAUAUAUCAAGAAAAAGGAUGAAAGAAGUUCUGGGAAUGAGGCCUUUUUCUCAAUAUGUGCCUCAUGCCUUGAGAUCCGGACGCUAGAGCAGCCCAGUCUAGACAUCUGGAAAGCCAAAGAGUAUCGUAGCACUACAUCUUAAUUUGAGGCUAUGACUACUUGUAAGUUGGAUCAUUUAUUAUGUGAAGUGAAAACUCAAUACUUACAGAACCUCCAAUUCUGAUAAGGAGGAGAUGUCUCCAGACAGCUCACCCGUCAAUCCCACAGCUGCCAACGUUCUGCAGUUGAAAAUAGUCAGCUAAUCUCGAAACUUGGAGAGGGAAGAAGGUGCGAGUCUUAAUUAAAAUUUGAAGCUGAACAACUGCCUAUAACUUACAUCGAAGUCACACGUGAAUUGUGACAUGAAAUGCCUUCCCAUUUGCCUCCACAGGGAUCUGCACCCACCCAAUUACGUGGUGUGUUUUCCCAGGCAUCCUUGAGAAUACUCAUUACUGUAACUGCAUCAGGAAUGGGACAGAACAAUAAAAAAUUUCCAUGAUUCAAUCACCAUCAGAGUUUUCUAGUUACAUGGAGUAUGGAGGAUCCAUUAAAGCUAGCAAAGAUCUCUACUAAAUCUAAUCUAGCCUCGAACUUUAAUGAGUGAUUUUUGGCCCAAGUGCAGGCAAUUCAGAAUAUUCAUUCUGCACUUCAUCUGUUAAGUUAAGAAGACCCUUAAGCACUUGAUUCUGAUUAGCAUAAAAAGCUACAUCCUACACGAGACAUGGCUCAUAAACUCUUUGCAGUAAAUGGGGAAUGUUAAUUUAUUGAACUUACAAUCAUCACCAUAGGUCUCUGUAUAAAUCUGAAAGGAAGCAACCAGCAAAAACGUGAGAACUUUGGGACACAUUUCUCAACAAAAUUGCAAAGCUCUUUGUUAUGAAUGUUGCUAACUCCAAAACCCUUUAAUAGCAGAAAUGAUAUCUAGAAGUACACUACAAGAUUUAACAGUUUUACCGACGGAAUUUUUCCGUUGGUGUAAGACAUAUUCUGUCGGUAAUUAAUUUACCGACAAAAUCACCGACGGAAAUGCCCCGCCGGUGAAGCUUUCAUCGGUAAUUUUUUGUCCGUCGGUAAAUCCGUUGGAAAUAAAAAAAUAAAAUUACCCGCGUCAUUUCGUCGGUAUAUCCCUCGGUAAUAAUAUUUUUUUAUUACCAACGGAUUUACCAACGGAAAUUCCAUCGGUAAUUCCGUCGGUAAUUAUUUAAAAACAUUUUUAAAAAAUUCAUUUUAAAAAAUUAUAAAAUAAUUAAAUUAACAUAAAUCAAUACUGUAUAAUAUAUACUCAAAAUGCUUGAAAACAAAAUACGAAAAUCAACUCAAACAAAUUUGCAACAAAUAAAUAAAACGAAAAAAUAAAUUCAACUAAAAAAAUUCAUAUGAAAAAAAUGAAGUUGCAAUUGCUAAAAAUUUAAAAAUCCUAUAAAUAAAUCAACUAAAAAUUAAUCUCAUAUGAAAAAACAAAUCUCACAACAACAUUUAUACAAUUAUUAAGAACAAAAACAAUUUAAAAUAAAAUAAAAAACAAAUAUAGUGAAAAACAAUCAUGAAAAAAGAAGAAAAAUCUUACCUUAAUGUAGUUGCAAGUGAAGCUAAGGAGAGAAAAUUUUUUUCGUAAAGCAUAUUAAUUAAAAAAAACUAAGAGGAUAAAAGAAGAAAGAAGAAGAAGACAUAUAUACCCGAGCAUGGAGGAAAAGAGAAGGAGAUGAGGAGAGAAAAGAAGAGAAAGAAAUAGAUAUUGAUGUUUUUUACAUAUAGUGAAGAAGAAGAAGAAGAAGAAGUAGAAGUAGAAGAAUGAGAAGAAGAAGAAGUAGAAGAAGAAGAAGAAGAAGAAGUAGAAGAAGUAUCUCUUGUGAAAUAACGGGAUUCAGGUUUUUUAUUGGGGCGCGUUAGCGACGGAUUUACCGACGGAUAAUUGAAUAUUAAUAUUUUUUUAAUUAUUCCGUCGGUAAUUCCAUCGGUAAUAUUUAAUUUAAAUUUUCAAUUUCGUAAAAAGUUUUCAGAAACCGCCAACAAUUACCGAUGAUUUUUCAGUCCGUCGGUGAUUUCGUCUGUAAUAUUUAAAUGAAAAUUUUAAAUCAAUUGAAUUUUUUCAGAAAACCGCCAAAUAACACCAACGACUUUUCAAUCCGUUGGUGAUUUUGUCCGUAAAGAACAACAAUUAACAGUGCAAUUGGAAAGUGAACAGUUCUGGAGCUCUCUGGAAAAUACCGACGGAUUUUGUCCGUCGGUGAUUCCCUUUGUAAUUGACAUGAUGAAUAGUGUAAACAAGUUUACCAACGAAUUUACUGACGGAAUUUACCGACGGAAUAAAUUCCGUCGGUAAUUCCGUUGGUAAAUCCUGACACGUCAUCAUUUUUUUUUCUUUGUUUUAAUUUUUUUGUCCCACCGUAAUUCCCUCGGUAUAUACUGAGGGAAUAUUUCCGUCGGUAAAAUCCCUCGGAAAUUUACCGAUGGAAAUAUUCCCUCGGUAUUUCCGUUUGUAUUUAUCGGUUUUCUGGUAGUGGUAUAACUCUUAAUAUGAUAAAACAUGGAAGGAAGAUCUUUACAUAUCCCCAUCGUUUACUUAUCUCAAGAUUUAUCGUGAAAGGACAUGAAUGGGACAAUUAUGUUCGUAUGAAUCACAUACUAAAUACAAAGACAAUUGACCUCCCAUCUCUAGUCAUUUUUGUUGGGACAUUCAAGCAAUCAAACACACAUAAAUUUACGUGGUUUGGCAACUUGCCUAUGUAGGGGAUUCCGGCUCCCCCAUGCGCGGACCGGGGGUAUACUGAUAGUUGCUCAACGGAGGGUAAAGCACACUGACACAAUAUUUAACGUGGUUCGGCAAAACCGCCUACAUCCACGGGAGAGAGUCAUUGUAUUAGAGAUAGAGAAAGGGUUACAAUAAAUACAUGUAGAGGAGGAGGAUUACAUCCACUCUACUCAACUCAUCAACUCUCAUUGCUGCUCUUGCAGCUGUUGCAAUGGCAGCAAGGCUGCUGCCAUUGCAGCUCUCUUUCUCUCCACUCUCUUGCAUACUCACGUUCUCUCUCUCAUUUUUCUCUCAAAUAUAAGCCUCCUUUAUAGGCAUUUCAUGGUCAACAUGGAGGGGCCAGUAAUGCCUUAAAGUGUGCCACUAAUUAUGGCAUGAAUGGAGCUACCACUAACUUGGUGGUGGGGUAUUGCCACUAAAUGGUAAUAUCCUAACAAUCACCCCCUUUGCCAUUUAUGUAGGCAAUUGUCAUCUUGCUUCUUCAGCACAAGCUUGAAUUCUGCAGCUCUUCCAAGCUUCCAUUCUGAGAGCGUCUUCAACACAACAUUCCCCUUCGAGCGUAUCAAUCAUGCUCGGUCCGGAAUGAUUUUUCAAGCCUUACACCAAGGCUUACAACACCCCCUCAAACGAAUAUUUCCAAGUGUGACAGUCAUUGAGUAUUUCAAUGUGAUCACAAGCUCACCACUCUUCCAAGAGUCUACUCAUCCAGGAGUUGCGCCUGCCCUUUGUUCCACCCUAGGAACCACGCCUUACUUCUCUGUGAGUCUCUCGCUCUUAGUCGUAAGAGUCCAGGUAGCUCUCCACCUUUCACCAUGGGGGCAGCCCAUUAAAGGUUGAUCCAUAUUUGUCUUCAUACUCUGAGUAUUACAAUGCCAUUACCGAGCUCACCACCUUGAUAAGAGUCAACUCGUUCUCGGAACCUGCGCAUGCCCUUCUGCUUCUUCAUAGCAGCCGCGUCUUAAUGCUCCACAAGUCACCCACUUAUUGUCCAAGGCAAAUGUCUUCUAGCUCAUUGAUCUUUAGCAUGGGGGCAAUAUCCAUGAAAGUCAAUCCUGCAUUUGUCUUCAUACUCAUCAUAGCCACUUCAUUGGCUAUACACCUGUCCACUCAUAUCUAGCCAUUACAUUGGCUCUGGGGCGUUCUGAACUGGGCUCAUAUCAUGGCCCACACACCUUCUCCUCAGGUGUCUCCGCUCGUCGUCAUGCGGCGGUCUGAAAUAGGGCUCCUAUCGCGGCCCUCACACCUUCUCUAAAGUGUCUUCACCCGUUGUCAUGGGGUGGUCUGAUCUUGGGCUUAUAUCAAGGCCCUCACACCUUCUCUAAGGUGUCUUCGCCCGUUGUCAUGGGGCGGUCGCAUCCUCCUUCAGCUGAGAUGCUUUAAAGUGGCUCCAAAAUUCUCUACCACCAUGUGCACUAUGGGAGAGAUUACUGCCACUGACUACAUAGAAAGAGAAAGUUGCGGUAGACUCCUCGCAAUCCUCCACCUCAAUUUCUAUGUUUGGAGCUUCUGUGCCUUUCUGCUUGACAGCUCCACCUACACCAACUCUCUUUGGUGUCUUCGCCUUUCAUCAUAGGCGGUUGCCUUUUAUCACAGGCGUUUGCACCCCUUCAAUUAGGUGCCUCUGCAACAGCUCUCUUUCCAUCCUUGCAUGCAUUGGAAAGGUCUUCGCCUAUUGUCUUCAUCAAGAGCAUAAGAGACUUCCUGUUGUACAAACUUUAACAGUCUCUGCUCUGAGCUUCAUCUGGGAACACUUCUUCUCCUUGCACCUGUUGUCUCAUUACAGCACCUCAUUGGAUCCUAUGGGUACUCCUGCACAAUCUCCGUGUGCCCUCGUGCAAUUUCUGUUCUCCAGAUUUCUCCCUAUUCCUUGCUUAUGUUUGACAGCAGUUCAUCCUGUCACAACACCUGUCCAAGUCAAAAUAGGGUGCCAAUCUUUAUCCCUUGCCGUAUUUCUCUACCAUUAUCAGGGUCUUCAUCAAUUCUCCCCUCGAGAAAUCACAGUCACCGAAUCUAACUUCUUUGGAGAAAUCACCACUUCAUCAGAUCCUUGAUCAUACGGAACCCAAUUGUUCCCUUGUGCCGUCGUCCUGCUAGUCUUCAACCGUUUCAUUACAAACUGCUAUAUAUACGAAAAUAGUACCGUAUGGAUAAUCCUUCCACUAAGCAAGUUCCCAGGAAAGAUUGGAGGGGUCACACUGGUCCCGCUUAAAACCCAAUCUCCUAGACAGAACUUCUCAGGCCAUAUCUAUCCAUCGUACUGUCUUUCCGUAUAUACAACCAUUUGCUAGCUUUGUUGCGGCUUUCCUUUACAAGUGAUCUGGAAUAUACUGGUUUAAUUCAUGAUUUCUCAACAUCUGGCGAGACUACCAGUUCUUAGAUUCGUCAAGAUUGGUCUUCGUCAAUUUCCACUCUUCACCUCAAAUUAUCCACAUGAUCGGGUGUCUAGAGUGUCCCAAUUUUGCCUUCCCUCAAGGCAGUUAAAUUUCUCCCCACUUAGCAGUUCAGCACAUGUAAUUGGGUAAACAUGUGCACCUUCUUCUUCUUCUCUUCAACGACCACCAUGAUGACCUUCAGAUGCCUCCUGAUCGGGCAAUCUCAUUUGUUAAUUCACCACCGCCAUUUUCGGUCUCAAAUUUCAACGAUCGGACCGUACCAUCUUGAUGUAUGCUAUGGUCUGGCCUACUCCACGGAGCUACUAGUUUGUAUUAAUCACUCAAAGAAACACUACAAACAAAGAGGAGGAGAAAACUCUUCUCUACUCAACUCUACACACUCAAGCUCUCCACUGCUCUCUCUCGUUUCUCUCUGUGUUUUCACUCUUCUCUGCCACCAUUACACAGCUCUUCAAUGAGCAUAUAUAUAUAUAUAUAUACAAAUGGGAGUGAAGGGGCAUAAAUCAAGCCAUGAUUUAUGCCAUCGAUUAUGUCCUCCACCAUGUGUCAAGUGGGAGAUUAGGUAUUCCCACUUGCAUAUGGUGAGACAUUGUUUGUCUCCAUUUUCUAACAAUUUUCAAGUUUAUAGUCAAUAUGAAACUCUAAGACUCCUAAAAAUACAAGUAGAGAAACAAUUUAUGAGUUUCAUUCUAGAUACCGUAGGUGACAAGAUUUAGUUGUGAGAGUGAUAGAAGAACCCACCAAAUGGUCAUGAUUGUCUGCUAAAGUCAUUAUUGAAGCGAUGAUCAAUACAAAAAGUUAUCAAGUGUUAAUGAGAUGUGUAGAUGAUUUUACUAAGUCUACUAAUUAGACAAGUACUAGAAAGAAAUGCAUUUGACAGUUGGAGUUUGGCUCAUUUAAUGAUUCAAUUGCUCAUCUAAAUGGAAAAAAAAAAAAAUUGAUGUAAAGGAAUUUACCACACUGGACCAUGAGCCUGCUAAACUUUAAAACUAAAUGCUUGCAUGAGUCCCGGGCUGAUUUGCUUGACCAAUCAGCACUUUAACCUGAUUUGUGAGAGGAAUAUAUCAAGAUCGACGGAGAACGCGUUGCAAAUAUUCUACAAUACCAGCUGUUCCUUAGAAAACCAGGUCUAGAAGUUAUUAUUUUUCUAGUUAAUAUUAAAUUUUAAUUAUUUGUUUUAUUUAGCUUUGGAUUCUUUGGUUCAGUCAGUUUUAAACAACUACUUGAAUAAUUGUUGUGUUAAUUUUUUUUUGUUAGAUUAUUAUUACAAACUUUCCAAAAAUAUUAGAGCUUUUAUCUAUUUCUCUACAAUUUAAAGUCUGCAACCUUAGGGUUUGAAAAUCUUAAUCUUUAUCUAUGCAAUAUGAUUUGUCAACCUCAACCCUAAUGCAACAAUAAUAUUGGGAAAGAAGUAUUAAAAAUGCCAAUUUGAUUAUUACUUUAUGACUUGCUGCUGCCAUUGUUAUUAACAAGCAGUUGGUUGCUACAGAGACAAAAACUCGUUUAUCUGACAACAGUAGAAAAUGAUUCAUGAAGACAUCAGAAUUUCUUCCAAACGAAUCAUUCCUUGUAAUUGCAAACACAUGGAUGGGUCCCCUCCUCUCUAUGAAUGCUUACAACAAAUCAUUCUCUUAGACUUGACAGCGCCUGACCUAAUCUUGAUCCGUGGGGAAGACGGCACUGCAGUUUCUCAGAUGAUGCCAACAAUAAGGACAGUACACAAGAAAGGUAAACCCAAGAAACCAGAGAUUUAACUGCACUCCUCAUUAACAGUAUCAUAAAAGGCAAAAAGGUCGUGAAGAAAAUGAAAAUAGUGAGCUCAGUAUGCUACAAAGUGCAAACAACACAAGAAAAUGGCAACUCGUACUCUCAGGUAAGAAGUAUCACUGAAACAUUUGCCAAGCCAAGCUCAUACCAAGGAUUCUGAGCUCACUCAUAUAUAGUGGCUCUACCUUUGAAACUGGGAAGUCCCCUCUGUAAUCAAAGGCAUCCCUUGCUUGCAUCGUCAUAGUUGUUUGCUAGUCAUUUAAAUUGACAGAAAUAAAUUUUGGUCAGUCAAGAGAUUAGAGCCAAAGAAAACUCAACAAAAUAUUUGAACUCACUCGUGGAAAGAAUGCUUGCACCAGUCCCGCGCUGAUUUGCUUGACCAAUCAGAAUUUUUACUUGAUUUGUUAGUCAGAGGAAUAUAUCCUAGAUAGAUUGAUGGGAAAGUGUUGGAAAUAUGUUUAUAGAACAAAUUUUAAUUCUGUUUGUAUUCUUAGAUUUUCCAGUAGUAAAAUCAUGCAUUAGCUAAACGAUCCAUGAACCUGUCAGCAUAAAGAAAAAUAUCGAAUACCUUUUGUUUAUAUAUAUAUAUAUAUAUAUAUAUAUAUAUAUAUAUAUAUAUAUCAACUCUUAUGUAGCUAAAUUAAGAAUUCGGAAAGUACUUUUGAAUUCGAUAAAAAAAAAAACUACCCAACCUCUUAAAGAGGAGAGAAGAAGCAGAUUAAUGGGAUAACUUCACACACAUUUUUCAUUUACAUUGUGCAUGUAUAAAUACAAGAUUGAAGAGCUUAUUAAGCCUGAAGUUUUGCUAUUCUGUAACUAACUGCAAGUUGUCCAUAAUUCAAACAUUCAAACUAAACAUAAAGAUUUGAUUCCGGUGGAUGAGGAUUUUGUGGAGGAACUGAUGUUGUUGGAUGAGUGAUUUGUGGAAGAGUGAUGACUUUCCUAAUAUGCCCCCGCAAGAUGGAGGUACCAUCAGUAACUCCAAUCUUGGAUUUUAAGGUUUGAAACCGGUGGCGUGGAAGAGCCUUCAUAAGCAAGUCUGCAAGCUGAUCCAAAGUGUGAACAUGACUGACAGUAAUGCGACCUUUCUGGACAAGAUCACGAACAAAGAGAAGGUCGAUUUCGAUGUGUUUCAUAUGAGUGUGUUGCACUGGAUUUAAGCUGAAAUGAGUUGCACCAAUGUUAUCACAAAAAAAUUAGGGAGGAUUUGGAAGAUGUAAGCUAAGUUCUUUGAUUAAGGAGUGAAGCCAAACUAUUUCAGAGGUGGCAGUAGCUACUGCAUGAAAUUCAGCUUAUGUAGAAGAACGCGAUACAGCUCUUUGUUUGCGUGCAGACCAAGAAAUGGGAUUGGAGCCUGGAAAGGUGAUAAAUGCGGUGAUGGAGACUCUAGUAUCAGUGUUGGCAGCCCAGUCCCCAUCAACAAAGGUUCAUAGGUUUAAGGGGCUGGUCUGUUGAAUAAGAAUCCCAUGAAACAUUGUUUGCUUGAGAUACCUGAGAAUUCGUUUGGCUGCAGUCCAGUGACACGCUGUUGGUUUGUGCAUGAACUGGGAAAGUCGAUUUACUGGAAAUGCAAUGUCAGGUCUAGUCAGACCAAGAUAUUGCAGUGCCCCAAUAACUCUGCGAUAUUCAGUGCUGUCUGUAGGAGUUGAACCAUCCAUUAAAAUCAGUGGUGUGCUGGUUGACAGUGGAGUGUGAAUGUCUUUGGCCAUAUCCAUGGAAGUUUUAGAGAGUAAAUCUCAUAUGUAUUUGUGUUGUGAAAGAAAAAGGCCUUUGGUUGUAGGAAUAACUUCAAUGCCAAGAAAAAAAAUGGAGGUCUCCCAUGUCUUUGACAGAGAAGGUGUGACAAAGUUUGUUGAUGAUAGCAGCUACAAAUAUGGAGACGUUUCCUGUGAUAAUGAUGUCAUCAACAUACACAAGACAAUAGCAGAGAACACUGUUAGAGGCAUAGAUGAAUAAAAACGUGUCCGUAGCUGAGUGAACAAAACCAAAUUGCAGAAAAGCAUCCCGGAGAGCUUUGUACCACUGGCGAGGUGCCUGUUUCAGGCCAUAAAUACUUUUCUUCAGUUUACAAACAUAGUUAGGCUUGGAAGUAUCUCUGAAGCCCGGAGGUUGAUGCAUAAACACUGUUUCUUCAAGAUUGCCAUGAAGAAAAGCAUUAUUUAUGUCAAGCUGCCUAAGGGGCCAACCAUUCAUGACAGCAAUGGAGAGGAUUAAGCGAAUUGUAGCUGGUUUGACAACUGGACUGAAUGUCUGGGAAUAAUCAAUACCUAGUCUUUGAUGGAAGCCUUUGGUGACUAGACGAGCUUUGUAUCUGCUGAUGGUUCCAUCAGGAUUUUGUUUUGUUCGAAAAACAAAUUUGCAGCCUAUAAGAUUUUGACUUGCUGCAGGAGGAACAAGUUCCUAAGUGGCAUGAUUAAGUAAUGCAGUGAUUUCUUCGGACAUGGCAUUGCGCCAAUGUGGAUUUUUAAGUGCUUGACUAACACAUGUUGGCUCAGGGGAUUCAGGUAAUGGAUGUGUUGUGGUGGUGUGAAGCUGUUUUGGAACAAAGAUGUUGUUCAUAGACUGAGUGGUCAUGUUAUGUCGUCUUUGAGAAACAACAGGAGCUAGAAGAUUUACCUGAACUGUGGAGACUGUGGUUGUAGUGUCCGAAUUGGAUGUAGGGAGAGAGAGUUCUUCUUGAUGGACAGUAGAGACUGGUGCAGAGAAAGCUUGGUUGGCUGGGGUGACAAUCUGCAGUAGUGGUGCAGGUAGAGUAGGAGCGACAGGUAAGGAAGACUUAGAGGUGGACUGGUUGAUGAUGUUCUUUAGAGGAUAGGUGUUUUCAUCAAACGUAACAUGCCGUGAGACAUAUAAGCGUUGAGUAGGUAAGUGGAAGCAAAGAUAGGCACUCUGUGUAGUGGAAUAACCAAGAAACACACAAGGAACAAAUUUUGGCUGGAGUUUAUGUGUGGUAAGGUUUCAGCCAGGGAAAACACAAGCAACCAAAUGUUCUAAGUUUGAGAUAAUUGGGAGCUGUUGUGAACAAGGUUUGAAAGGGAGAUUUGUGAUGAAGAAUAGGAGAGGGCAAUUGAUUGAUUAGAUAGGUGGCUGUGGCAAAAGCAUAAGACCAAAAAUAGGAAGGAAGAUUGGCGUGACUGAGAAGUGUGGUACCUAUUUCUACUAUGUGUCUAUGACGACGCUCUGAAACACCAUUUUGUUGAGGAGUGUGUGGGGCUGUGGUGUAAUGGCCUAUGCCGUGGAGAGUAAGAAAAGGUUGUAGAGCAACAAAUUCUCCACCAUUAUCAGAGUAGAGACUUUUGAUAUUAACAUUAAACCGAUUUUGGAUCAUUUUAUGAAAUUGAGGAAAAAUGACUUUAACAUCAGAUUUCUUACGAAGUGGAAAAAACCAGACAUAUUUUGUGAAGUGAUCAAUGAAGAUCACGUAAUAUUUAUGAUCUUGAAUGCUGAUUUAUGGUGAUGGUCCCCAAACAUCGGUAUAUAUUAAAUCAAAAGGAGCAGAGCUAGUGAGGCCAUGUUUAUGAAAAGGCAGGCGAUGAGAUUUAUUGAUAGAACAGGAAUCACAAAAAUGAGAUAUAGAAGAAUUGCUGGAAACUGUAAGAGAGAAUGAGGAGAUCAUUCUGUCUACAACUUUUGAGGAAGGGUGGCCUAGGCGCUGAUGCCAACCAUUUAUAGAUGUGCGUUCAUGAACCAUUGCAAUGGGAGUGGAGGCACAGGGAUGAGGUAGAGGAUAAACACCAUUCUCACACGGUCCUUGAAGAAGAAUCUCUCUCUCUCGUCUGUUGAUCCUUGACAAAAAAACAAGAAGGAUGAAAUUCAAGAAACAUUGUUGUGUUUGGUAAAAUGAUGGACUGAAAUCAAAUUUUGAUUAAUGGUGGGAACACAAAGAGUGUCUUGAACUUGGAAAGUGCGUUUAGGAAAGGGAAGAGUAAGAGAACCUGAGUGAGUGAUUUUCAAACCUGAACCAUCUCCAAUGAGCACUUCAUCUGUGCCUUCAUAUUUAGAGUGUAAGUGCAGAUUGGAUACUUGAGAGGUGAUGUUAUGCGAUGCAGCAGAGUCAAUGAGCCAUCGCUGAUCUGGACUCUGAGAAGCAGUGGUGUAGUUAGCUGUAGCCUUCUUGAUGUGUAACUUAGGACAGUAUUUUGCAACAUGGCCAAGUUGAUCACAGUAUUGGCAUUUGGGAGUGUAUUUCUACUGCCUGAAAUAGCGAGGUUGAGAUUUGGAAUCAUAUUUUUGUGUGGCUGCAUUUAGAGAAGACCAUGGUUUUUUUUGUGAAAAACUAUGAUUCCUGCGCUAAGUAUUAUGUGCUGUAACAACCAGGGGAGGAGAAGCAAUGUCCAGGCAUUUGAGAUACGACUCAUGACCAAUGAGAAGAUCAUGAAGUUCUUCAAAUGAUAAAGCAGAUUCGCGUGUACGAAUAAGGGCUACCAUUUCUCUAUAUUCAAGACCUAAGCCAUUGAGAACAUAGAGAGUAAUAUCAUCAGCAGAGAGAGGGGCAUCAAUGAGAGCAAGCUUAUCGGCAAUGGACUUGAGAGAAUAAAGAAAUUCUGUGAUAGUGCGUGUUCCACGCUGAAUGAGAGUGAGAUCCUUUUUGAGUUGCAUGACUCGUGUUCUAGAACGACUGGCAUAAAGCUUGGUCAGUUUGUUCCAGGCUUGAGAGGAUGUUUUGGAAGCUGCUAUGAAAGGUAUCACAGAAUCAGACACCGAAGUAAGAAUAGCAUUCAAAAUUAAUUUGUCCUGUCGAAACCAGUGAGUAGAGGCAGCAGUAGGUGUUGCAUCAAAAUUUAUGGACAGGGGACAUGUGAGUGUACCAUCAAUAUAACCAUAUAGGUUGUAGUCGAGAAGGAGGGAUUCAAACUGUGCAUGCCAAGAGGGAUAAUUGGUUGGUGUGAGUCGGGUGGUGAUCUGCUGGGUGGCAUUAAUAACAACAGGGGGAGAGGCUGAGGAGGCCAUUGCAGAAGCAAAGAAGAGAAAGAAAAAAAAAUCAAAGGAGAACUCGUUGGAGAAAAGAGAGCUCUGAUACCAUAAAGAGGAGAUAAGAAGCAGAUUAAUGGGAUAACUUCACACACAUUUUUCAUUUACAUUGUGCAUGUAUAAAUACAAGAUUGAAGAGCUUAUUAAGCCUGAUGUUUUGCUAUUCUGUAACUAACUGCAAGCUGUCCAUAAUUCAAACAUUCAAAUUAAACAUAAAGAUUUGAUUCCGGUGGAUGAGGAUUUUGUGGAGGAACUGAUGUUGUUGGAUGAGUGAUUUGUGGAAGAGUGAUGACUUUCGUAAUACCUCUAGCAUGAAGUCAAGGCUUCUUUUGGAUUCGCUUCGUUGUUUGAGUAAGCCUCGAACCAAUGAGAAACAAGUGUUAUUCCUAUAUCUGUCCACCUUGAUAUGACUAAUACAAUUUUUAUUGGAUUUAUAUUUUUUUUCCUUCUAUUUUAUAUUUUUUUUCCUUUUUUUUCUCUAAAAACAUUGUUUUUUUUGUUAGCAAUUCUAUGUGUUUGUAAAAGGUUCAUUGGUUUCUUUUAUUCCUAGCUUAUCAUCUUAUUAUAUAGUUCUCAAUCUUUCCUCAGCUUUUCUCUUCACCUAUUAUUCAUGUAAUCUCGGAUUAGACUUUUCCCAAUUUUUUUAAUAGCUAGAUUUUAUACAUAAAUGACUAGCCAUCGUCAACACUUGCGCUCAUCGCAUCACCAUACAGCUCAGCACACCAAGAAAACGAAUCUUAUAUUUGCUCGGUUAGUGUCCGUUUUUUUACGCAGCUGCGGCUGCGUUUUAAAAUGAACCGCAGAUUUAAGCUGUUUGGUAAAAAAAACAGGAUUUACUGUUCAUGGCCCUCAUUAUUUACUGCGUUUGCAACGCAGGGGGAGAAGAAGCAGCUCCAAACUGCUUUUUUUGCAAAUUGUGUUAUAGCACAGUAACCAGAGGCACGCAACUUUCUUCUUCCAGUAACCAGAGGCGCACAACUUCUUCUUCUUCUGCACUUCCAUGUCUCCACUGUUCACGUGAAUAGUGGAGACAUGGAAGUGCAAAAGAAUAAGAAGAAGGAGAAUGAGGGGUUGGGGAAAACAGGGAAAGAGUAGAUAGCUUUGUCAUCCAACUCCAGCACCAAGCAGACACUGAGAGGAGAAGGAGCAGAAUAGAGGAAUAGCUAGAAAAGUGCUCAACUUUCAUCUUCAUUCCCUCCUGCUUUGCUUUUAUCAACAUUACACUGUUCAAGUGAAUUUUAAUCCACUUGAACAGUGUAGCAACACGUGUGAAUUUAGUACACGCGUGUUACUUUGCCCAGCCGGGUCAUUGGCUUGGGCCAGUGACCGGGCUGGGCUGGCUGGGUUUAGCCCAGCCCAUAUGGGUCGGACUAGGUCCGAUCCAAACCUAAAUGCAUUGACCCGAGUCCGUCCCAAACCUAAAUGCAUUGAAUCGGGUGUGACCCAGUAAAAUAAAAAGAAAUCCAGAAAAAUUUCACAGAUAUUGUGUUUUAUUUGAAAAACUAAUGUUUAACAUGAUUCAAUGGCACUAUAUAAUUACAUUUGAAGAAGAUCGUAUGAUGACAUAGCAUUUGCAGAAUUUGAUCGCAAUCCUAAUUUUGUUCUUGAUGAUAUUUUACCUCAUGUUGAUGCACGCUUAGGAAACUAUGGAAAUUGUAGUUCUUAUUGGAUAGAUUUCAUACGUGAUGAAAUUGCACAUAGUUUAAUGCAACAAUAAAAUAUAAUUUAUAUAAAGUAUUGUUUAUUUUAUGAUGUAAUAGCAGUAGUUAAAUCGAUAAUAUUUCAAUGAAAAACCACCAAUAUUAAUAUAUGUCUUUUUUAAUUAUUUUGUAACCUCAGUUUGAAAAGCAUUAUUUAACUAAACAUAUUAAACUACUUUUUGUUCAACCUCAAUUUCAACUACAGUUUUAACCAAACAUAAAUUUUUCCAAACCAACCUCAACUAAAAGUACUUUUUAUAAAACAACUUUUUUCAAACCACAACCAUAACAGCUACCACAAUACCAAACACAGUCAGCCACAAAUGUGACCUUGGUUCAUGCAGCUCUGAUCAACUCUCGCAUUCAUAUCAAGGAGCAAGCUCAUGUUCUCAACCUUCAUUAUCUUUUCAUGAUCAUCAACAUGAUGAAUCCGUGGUCAAGGAUCUUAUCAGUAUGCUUGAUUCAACUAACUGCUUAGUUGGGUUAAUUAUUUCAUUAGGCUUCACAAAGAUUCAUAAAGCGUAACAAUCCUAGAUAUAUACAAGCUUCGAUUUUUUGGUCAAAGAAGCCAUGACUCAAUACAAUAUAAUUAUCCAUCAUUGAAUGAUAUCAGUGGUUUGAUUAUUGGAGAUAUUGGUUAUUAUCAUUCAGAACGAGAUAUCAUCAUCGAAAUCUUGGCUGGGUGUUUGCAAAGGAUCUCAAAAUUACAUCAAAAAAAUAUGUCCUUACAAUAUUCUUUUUUUUUUUCCCUUCGGUGAAGAUGGUAAUCAGACUAACAUUAGCUUUGCCAACCAAGAUGACUAAGUUUCUCGAAAACGCUAAAAAAUUCCAAUAAGAGCUUUAUAUGUUUAUCUUAUUCAUGAAAGAGAUUAUGGUAAAGACACUAUUAUAAAAGACGAUCGUCAUCUUUACCAUUAGUUUUUAGUCGAUACAUUUACAAAUGUCGAAGAAGACAGGCUUGAUUGCAUUAGAGCAAACCAGAAUGAUCUUCGAACUGAGCUCUAUCAAGACACUAAUAAAGUUGUUCUUAGAGAGGAUGUUCAAGGGUUGACAACUGGAAAAAAUAUUGCCCUUUCUUCUUUAACUGGCAGUCCACCAUAUAUGACUAACAACUACCAAGAUGUCAUGGCUAUUUGUAGAACAUAUAGAAAUCCAGAUCUAUUCAUUACAUUUACAUGCAACACAAACUGGCUUGGAAUCAGAAGAGAGCUUAGAGAAGUGAGUUUAUAAGCAUGAAGACAAGCCUGAUAUAAUAUCGCACGUGUUUUAAGAACAAAUGAAGAAAUUAUGAGUGAAAGAUUUUCACCGUUCUUAUUAAUUACAAGCAAAGUUACACACACACACACACACACACACACACAAAUAUAUAUAUAUAGAGAGAGAAAUUUUUAGCCAGCUAUUCUUACAAUCCUUAUAGGAUAGAUAUCCUAUCAGCAGUAGGAUAUACAUGUCAGGUCUUUGACUUAUGAUUAUACACGGAAUUAUCCUUAACUGCUAACUGCCCCCAUAAUUUCAGGAACUGAAGAGAGUGUACAAGCACAGGACAUAAGAUAUUUGCAAUAAUCCCCCUCAAGUUAGAUCCAGAGGAUUAAUGGAUCCAAGCUUGCUCAAUAGUUGGUGAAAUUGAGUAGACAACAUAACUUUGGUAAACACAUCUGCCAAUUGAUCAUUUGUACAUAUAUAAUAAAUAGCAAUAAGUUUUGACUGAACUUGUUGUUGAAUGUAGUGAUAGUCAACUUGAAUGUGCUUCGUGCGUUCAUGAAAAACAGGAUCAAAUGCAAUGUGCAUGGCUUAUUGAUUAUCACAACAAAGUGUCAUGAGAAUAUUGCACGGACAGCUUAGAUCGGUUAGAAGGCAUUUAAGCCAUACAAGCUCACAUGCAGCUGAUGCCAUAGAGCAAUAUUCAGCCUCGGUGCUAGAACGAGCCACCACACGUUGUUUUUUACUUUUCCACGAAACUAGGUUACCACUAACAAACAUACAAUAACCAGUAGUUGAUCUACAAUCAAUUGCAUUUCCAGCCCAAUCAGAAUCAGAGUAUCCCAUAAUGUUUGUAUGUCCGUUAUUAUUCAUAAUGAUGUCACGACCAAUAGAUCCUUUCAAAUAUCAAAGAAUGUGUUUCAAACCAGCAUCUUAAAGCAAGUCUACAAUAUAUUUUUGUUGAUUUAGAAAUAACCCUUCGCUAGAAGUUGUCAUUUCAAUUCCAAGGAAAUACUUCAAAUGCCCAGAUUGGAAAUUAGAGCUGGAGAUUCUUUUUCAACAAAGCAAUAGAAUCACUAUUAUUACUCGUGAUGAUGAGAUCAUCCACAUAUAGAAGCACCAUGAAAUUAUCAUUUGUAUUGAGUCGAACAUAGAGUGAAGAAUCAGUCAAACUCCUUGUAAAACCGAGAGCUUCAAGAGCAGUACUUAGUUUGGCAUCCCAAGCAUGAGGACUUUGUUUCAACCUAUAAAUAGAUUUAUGUAGUUGACAAACCAUUUUGGAAUCUCCAACUUGAGGAUGUCCUGGUGGAAGCUUCAUAAAAACUUCUUCUUCAAGAUCUCCAUGCAGGAAUGCAUUUUUAACAUCCAUUUGCAACAUUGCCCACCCAUUAUUGAUAGCUACAGAUAAAAAAAACUCUGACAGUGGUCAUUUUGGCAACUGGGGCGAAUGUCUCUUUGUAAUCAAUGCUGCAUUUCUAAGUAAAUCCUUGAGUAACAAGACGAGCAUUGUGUCGAUCAAUCGAGCCAUCAGAAUUGAAUUUUGUUUUGAAUAUCCAGUGACUCUCAACUGCAUGUUUUCCAUGAGGAAGAGGAACUAUACUCCAAGUUUUAUUUUCCUCGAGAGUUGUGAGUUCUUCUACCAUAGCCUUUUGCCAGAUACCUUGAGAUUGAGCUUCUUGAAAGUUUUUGGGUUCAUGAACACUGGAGAUCAUUGUAAGGAAAGCUGCGUGCAACGGUGAUAAUCUUUGAUAAGUCAGGAAUGUAUUAAUUGGGUACCUGACUGUAUAGGCAACAUAAUCUUGCAAUUUAGCAGAAGGGUGAUGAGUCCGUUAUAGAUUACAUCACAGAGGUUCUGCUCUGUCUUGAACAUUGGAUAAUUGAUGUUCAAUGGAGUUGAUAAUACUUGCUGGAAGAACAUUACCAGAUGACUCCACGUUGUUAUCAGAGACAGUUACAGGAGAUGAUGAAUUUGUAGUGUGAUUCGUAGCUGGUUUGAGCAAAUCAGUAGAAUUCUCAAUGUGAGGAUCAACACUAAGUAGGGGGGAAAAUCCGGGAGUAUAUCUUCUUGACUAGUGCCUUCAAAAUAAGGACUAGUUUCAACAAAUCGAACAUCUCUAGAGAUAUAUAGCUUCUUGGAUUUAGGCUCAUAACACUUGUACCCCUUAUUAGUUUGCAAAUAACCUAGGAAUAUGCAUUUAACAGCUCUAGGAUCAAGUUUAUCACGUUGAGUAGCUGGUAAGUGUACGUAACAAGUGCAACCGAACACAUUAAGGUAUGACACAUCUUGUUUUUUGUCCUGCAAAACUUCAAGAGGACAUUUGAAAUCCAACACUCGAUUGGGUAAAUGAUUUUUAAGAUGAGUGGCAGUACAAUUCUCGUAUCCAUAUUGUUUUGUAAUAGGGACAUCACAUAAUCAAGGUGCGUAGGAAAUCUUGUUCCAGGAGUUCACAUAUUUUGAAAGGUGCUUUGUAAUAGUAUGUCUUAGAUAUUAUGUUGAACAUUUCCAUUCGACAUCUUUGUAAGGACUUGUAAUGAAAAUUGUAAUGGAACACAGAUUUGGAUGUGAGAACAUGUAGAUACGAUGUUAUAAAUAUAUUAUGUGGUAUUCUCUUUUAUGAGGAUGUUGUGUUGUGAAAUCACAUUAGGAUCGUAUGAAAGAAAGAACUGGUUGUGUAAAAUUGAUAUUCGGCACUCAGGUAUAAACUCCUGUUGAUAACGAAACUAGGACAAGAAUGGAAACUCAUGAGUAUGUCAAUAUGAAGUAAUGUAAGUGUAUGAAUAUGAAAAUAUAAUAUUGCGCGCAUGUGUAUUGAUCUUUCGUCUUAUGAGAAUGUUGAUUUACAAAAACUAUGUCCAUAUGAUGCCUGAUAAGGAAGGGAACCUAAUUACUAAUUCAUGGCGUGUCAGAGAAUUAUCGAGAACUAAAAAAAUUUCCACCGGUUUUGGCUUUGAAAAAGCCGGGUCAUUACAAAACAACUCAGGGUAGACAGAAGAGUUAUGUCGGGUCAUAAUAGCUUGAAGUCUACAUCUACUUUGAUUUUCCACAUUCUUCUUGAAUUUCCAAAAACUCCUAGCAAGACUUGUAUUUCAUAAAGAAAAUCCAACAUAUGUUUGGCUUAGAGGGCCAACCACAUUAGUAUGGAUUAAUUGGAGUUUCUAUGUUGAUCUCCAAAUUGAUUUUGGAAAUGGUUUCCUGUUUUGCUUACCAAACUGACAGGCUGUACAAUUUAGUAACAGAUCAGUAAAUAGAGGCACACCUUUUAUAGCAUCAUUCUUCUUCAUACUGAGCAUUCAUUGAUGAUGACAAUAUCCUAGCCUCUUAUGCCAUACUUCUAUGUCAUUUAGCUUUGUUGAAAAAGUUAUGUGUGUUGUUCAGAGGAAGAAUAUAUAUUAAUCUUAUUUCAAUACAAAUUAAAGAGCAGAGGAGGCUCUUAUAUAUAUAGCCUAUAUAGAGACUAAUUAGGAAAAGAUUCAUUGCACUAUUCUAGGCAGUAAUCGUGGUAAGGCUAAUUAGGAAACUAAAAUAUUCUAUGAUUCCUAUUCUGUGAUUUCUAUAAUUAUUCUUCACGUCAACACUCCCCCUCAAGUUGGUGCAUAGAUAUCAGUAAUGCCCAACUUGUCUAGUGAGUUGUGGAAGAUUUUGCCCGAGACAACCUUUGUAAGUAUAUCUGCUAGUUGAUCUUCUGAUUUUACAAAUGGAAAUUGAAUUAUGUUGUCUUCAAGCUUUUGUUUAAUGAAAUGUCGAUCUACCUCAACAUGUUUGGUAUGAUCAUGUUGAAUUGGGUUGUGCGCAAUUGUUAUGGCUGCUUUAUUGUCACAAAACAUGUUCAUUGUAUCUUGAGAUGAACAUCCGAUUUCUUCCAUUCAUCUUUUUAACCAAAGUAGCUCACACAGUCUUUUGGUCAUACCUCUGAAUUUAGCUUGUGCACUUGAUAAAGCAACUACCUUUUGUUUCUUGCUUCUUCAAGUGACUAGAUUUCCGGCCACAAAUGUGAAAUAGCCAGAUGUGUAGAUGUUGAUUUUUCCUAAACAUCAGUCCUUUCCUGGAGAAGACUUCAAGUAUCGCAAAAUGCGAAUCACAACACUCAUAUGAUAUUCGCUAGGGUAAUGCAUAAACUGACUUACCAAACUCACGACAUAUGCAAUAUCUGGUCGUGUAUGAGAUAAGUAUAUUAGUUUUCCCACAAGGCGUUGAUAUCUCUCUUUAUUGGUGGGAGCCUGAUCAGGAAAUUCUCCCAAACCAUGGUUUUGAACUACUGGUGUAUCGGCCGGUUUGCAAUCAAGCAUUCCUGUUUCAGACAGCAAGUCAAACACAUAUUUCCUUUGGGAUAGAAAUAUGCCUUGUUUCGAUCGAGCUACUUCAAUCCCAAAAAAAAAAAGAAGUUCUUCAUCUUAAAUUCUGUUGCUAACUACUCCUGUAAUUUAGAGAUUUCUUCUCCGUGGUUUCCUGUAAUUAUCAUGUCAUCAACAUAGAUUAUUAGAGCUGUUACCUUUCCUUGUUGGUACUUCAAGAAGAGAGUGUGGUCUAAAUUACUUCGCUUGUAACCAUAUCUCCACAUGGCAAAGCUAAAUUGUCCAAACCAUGCUCUCGGGGAUUAUUUUAAGCCUUAUAACACCUUUUGUAGCUUGCAAACCACCUUUCCUUGUAUCGGAGAAGCAAGUCCAGGUGGAAUAUCCAUGUACACCUCCUCCUCAAGAUCUCUAUGGAGGAAAGCAUUUUUUACAUCAAAUUGGUGCAGUGGCCAGUCUAAGUUUGCAGCAAGAGAGAUCAGUACUCUCACAGUAUUUAAUUUUGCUACAAGUGAGAAGGUUUCUUGAUAAUCUAUCCCAUAUGUCUGAGUAUAUCCCUUAGCAACUAGCCUUACUCUAUAUCCUUCUACGGACCCAUUUGCUUUGUGUUUAACCAAGAACACUCAUCUAUAUCCCACAUUUUUCUUUCCUUCGGGCAGUGGUACGAGCUUCCAAGUAUUAUUUUUCUGCAGUGCUUCCAUCUCUUCCUCUAUCGCUUGGAUCUAUUUAGGAUUAUUCAUAGCUUCAUUCACUGUAUUGGGGGCAUCUUCUGUAGACAAUUUAUGUGUCAAUGCCUUGAGGGGUUCAAAUAACUUUUGAGUUGAGACAUGGUUGGCAAUUGGGUACUUGGAUUUGCUCGUCCCAUAAUCAGGUGAAUAUCGUUUUGGAGGUUGUCCAUGAUUAUGCCUGAAAGGCAGAUUAUAGCCAGUAGAAAUAUUUUGAGAGGAGUUUAGAACUUGUACCUCACGAAUAUUCUCAGGAGAUUGAACUGAUUGUGGUAUUGUCACGGUAUGGAAGGGCUGUUUAUUGGAGACUUCUCCAGUUUCUUCCAUUUGCUCACCAGUUUCUGCACUCUUCAUUUCUCCUUGAUCCUUUAGUAUUUUGGUCUCUGUUUCAACAUGCUCACCAUUUUAUAUUUCUUAUUGAUCCCUCAGUAAUUCGGUCUGUGUGUCAACAUCAACAUACUCUGUAUGUGGCUGGAUAAUGUUAUCUGAGAUCUUUCUUAUUAUCUCAUUAUCUCCCCCUGCAUUCUUCACUAUACAGUUGUUAAAGCCUGACCAAUAUUCCCAAUUCUGCUCAGCACUCAUGAGCUCCUCCUGACCAGAAGGGAUGGAAGAUGGGGAAGUGAAGAAAUGCUCAUAUUCAAGGAAGGUAACAUCCAUGGAGGUAUAAAGUCAUCUUGUAGCUGGAUCAUAGCAUCGGUAUCCUUUCUUGUGAGCUGUAUAUCCAAGAAAAACACAGCGGACAUCACAGGGGCCGAGUUUGGUUCGUUGAUUUUUAUGUAUAUGAACAUACACGACAUAACCAAACGUUCUGGGAGGAGGCAUUAGAACUGACGGUAAGAUCACAUUUUGGCCUAGAACUUGAAGUGGGGUCUUGUAAUCCAGAACUCUUGAUGGCAGUCUGUUUAGCAAGUAUACGACGGUCACCACUGCAUCAGUCUAGAACCGUUUGGGCACAUUAGCAGCUGUCAUGAGAGCUCUCAUGAUUUCCAAGAUAUGUCGAUUUUUAUGUUCUGCAACACCAUUCUACUGUGGUGUUUGUGGACAAGAUGUCUCAUAAUGCAGACCAUGUUCCUGAAAGUAUCGGUGGAAUUGUUUAUUAUCAUAUUCCCCACCAUUAUCGGAUCUCAGAAUCUGUAGUUUUGCAGAAAAUUAUGUUUGAAUCAUAUUAUGGAAGGAGCGAAAUAUGUUAAACACCUCAUGUUUAUUUUUCAUCACAUAUAGCCAAGUCAUUCAUGUACAAUCGUCAACAAAUAUGACAAACCAGCGAGCUCCGGAAGAGAUAGUAAUUGGGGCAGGGCCCCAAAUGUUAGUAUGAACAAUCGCAAAUGGAUUGGCUCUGAUUUAAACGUAUUGGGUACGAUACACGAUGACUCUUAGCUUUAAUACAAGUUUCACACUGAAAAUCUUCUUCGCGAAAUUUCGUGAAUAGUUCUGGAAAUAAAUAACGUAAAUACCAAAAUGAGGGAUGUCCCAACCGAUUAUGCCAUAACCAAAUCUGCCGGUCUUUAUUGUCAACGAGGUGUAUGUUAUUGGUUCUACCACAGCUGAAGUCGUCCAUGUAAUACAUCCCUUCCUUCUUAGUACCACGACCAAUAAUCUCCUUGGUGAGAAUAUCCUGAAACAAGCAAAAACUAGGAUACAUUACUGCACAACAUUGUAAUUCCUCAGUGACUUAUCCUACAGACAACAACUUGUUGGACAGUGACGUGACUAGCAGGGUAUGUGGUAAUGAGAAAGAAGAAGAAAGUGCAACAGUUCCCGCCCCUAUUACUGGAUAUGUUACUCCAUUAGCAUUAGCAAUGCAUAGCCGUUUUGGUUGAGUGGUGUCAGAGAAAUCACAGGGAUCAUACGUCAUGUGGUUUGUUGCCCUAGAGUCAAUGAUCCAGCCAUCAUGAUUAGGAUUUGUCUGAGAGCAAAAAGCAUAACCUUGAUUACCUGGGUCAUUCUGAUCAGUCUGUUCUCCAGCCGAGGUAGGAGAUUCUUAUGUGGUACAAGUGAUAAUGGAGGUUCCAUGCUCAUAAGGGUUGCACGACCAGUAUGUUCACUGCUCUGAUACCAUGUCAAAGAACCAUUUCAACCCAAUAGCUUAAGUUGUUAGGUAAGGUUCCAAAAUAUGAUUUAUAUUAUUCUCUAACAACAACUUAUACUAAAUUCCGUUAUCCUUUGCUCUCUACUGCGUAAAGUUUUGGAUGAUAAUAAUAAUAUUCACAACUUAAAAGAUUGGAUACAGGAAGCAGAAAAUGCUCAUCAGUUUACUCUCCUUCGAUUAAAGUGAGAGGUCGAAUCAAGAAAAAUAGAUCAAUAAGUUCAACUGGCAUAAGUUUAAUUUCUAACAUAAUUAAUAUAAGAGCACACAGGAUUUCUUUCACCCAAAAUACAAAGGUUUUGCUAAAUAUAUAUUCACAAGUAGUUGACUCUUAAAAAUCUGAUGCACCACACGCGGCAAACAUUGCAAGAAAAUAUUGUAACACCCAGUACUGAAGCAACUUCUCAGCUUUCCCAGCUAAACAAUGCUCAUCAUGGUUCUAGACU